GAUCCUGGCUCAGGACGAACGCUGGCGGCGCGCCUAACACGUGCAAGUCGAACGAGCGAGAGAGAGCUUGCUUUCUCGAGCGAGUGGCGAACGGGUGAGUAACGCGUGAGGAACCUGCCUCAAAGAGGGGGACAACAGUUGGAAACGACUGCUAAUACCGCAUAAGCCCACGACCCGGCAUCGGGAAGAGGGAAAAGGAGCAAUCCGCUUUGAGAUGGCCUCGCGUCCGAUUAGCUAGUUGGUG
rnacentral:rRNA from 1 species